rnacentral:rRNA from 1 species
AACGAACGCUGGCGGCAUGCCUAACACAUGCAAGUCGAACGAGGGCUUCGGCCCUAGUGGCGCACGGGUGAGUAACGCGUGGGAACCUGCCCUGUGGUACGGAAUAACUCCGGGAAACUGGAGCUAAUACCGUAUGCGUCCUGCGGGACAAAGAUUUAUCGCCAUGGGAUGGGCUCGCGUAGGAUUAGCUUGUUGGUGGGGUAACGGCCUACCAAGGCAACGAUCCUUAGCUGGUCUGAGAGGAUGAUCAGCCACACUGGGACUGAGACACGGCCCAGACUCCUACGGGAGACAGCAGUGGGGAAUAUUGGACAAUGGGCGCAAGCCUGAUCCAGCAAUGCCGCGUGAGUGAUGAAGGCCUUCGGGUUGUAAAGCUCUUUCGCACGCGACGAUGAUGACGGUAGCGUGAGAAGAAGCCCCGGCUAACUUCGUGCCAGCCGCCGCGGUAACAC